AAGGAACGACUUCUGGGUGCCACAGCGAAAGCGUUAAGCGUCCCACCUGGGGAGUACGCCGGCAACGGUGAAACUCAAAGGAAUUGACGGGGGCCCGCACAAGCGGAGGAACAUGUGGUUUAAUUCGAUGAUACGCGAGGAACCUUACCCGGGCUCAAACGGGAGACGCCGCAGGCAGAGACGCCUGUUUCCUUAGGGACGUCUUCCGAGGUGCUGCAUGGUUGUCGUCAGCUCGUGCCGUGAGGUGUCGGCUUAAGUGCCAUAACGAGCGCAACCCCCACCGCCAGUUGCCAGCAGGUGAAGCUGGGGACUCUGGCGGGACUGCCGGCGCAAGCUGCGAGGAAGGCGGGGAUGACGUCAAAUCAGCACGGCCCUUACGUCCGGGGCGACACACGUGUUACAAUGGGCGGUACAGCGGGAAGCCAGGCGGCGACGCCGAGCGGAACCCGAAAGCCGUUCUCAGUUCGGAUCGGAGUCUGCAACCCGACUCCGUGAAGCUGGAUUCGCUAGUAAUCGCGCAUCAGCCAUGGCGCGGUGAAUACGUUCCCGGGCCUUGUACACACCGCCCGUCAAGCCAUGGGAGCCGAGGGCGCUUGAAGUGCGUCGCCGGGAGGCGCGCCCUAGAGCGAAAUCGGUGACUGGGGCUAAGUCGUAACAAGGUAGCCGUACCGGAAGGUGCGGCUGGAACACCUCCUUU
rnacentral:rRNA from 1 species